rnacentral:lncRNA from 1 species
AUGUGUCGGUUUGGACAAUUGAUAUAGGACAUUGGGAGCUAUUUAUAUCCAUCGCAGUGUACCAAUUAUGCUUGGAGGACCGAUUUGUUCGGAGACUCGUCAGGGAUGGAGCUACGUUUUUACGAUGUCAUCCUUGGGAUGGAUUGGCUGUCACGGUAUCGAGUAGUGUUGGAUUUCCUGAGGGCAAGAGUUCCUAUUGCUGGAGCAGGUGGAAGUUUUUAUUGCAUGCAUGCUACAUACUGAGGAGUUAUGGGAUACAAGGACAGAGAGAUUUUUGACUACCAUCUCGAUGGUUAAGGCUGAUGGACAACAUGAGCUGCAGGAUCUUCCGGUUAUUGCAGAGUAUGAGGACAUAUUUGUGACCUUUGGAACGGUCACCACAUGACACAUGAGAAACUCUUGCGAUUUGUUUGGAGCAAACAACACCAGUUUCACAAGUUUUAUACCGAUUAGCACCAACAGAGAUGACAAAGCUGAAAGAGCAUGUUGAAGAUUCAUCAGACAAGGGUUUUAUCAGACCGGGUACUUUACCGUGGGGAACAUCAUCAUUGUUGUUGUAAAGAAGAAAGGUGGGAGUUUCAAUUUUGUAUCGACUACAAAGGUCUGAACAAAGUGACCAUUAAAGAUAAGUAUCGCUUCCGCGCGUUGAUGAAUUAUUGGAUUAUUUACAGGAAGUUUAUAGUUCUUGAAGGUUGACAUGGCAUCAGAACACCAUCAGAUUACUAUAUUUGAAGAGUAUCUACUGAAUGUGAAUUUUUGUAUACAUUAUGGAUAUUAUGGGACGCAGUGAUACCAUUUGGCUCGACAAAGGCACUGUUGCAUUCAUGAAGAUAUGAAUGACGUUUUCGUGAACAUUUGGAUAGGUGUGCGAUUGUAUUCAUCGAUGACAUCCUGAUUUAUUUUGGAGUAGAAAGGAGAUUUGUGAGCAUUUUGCGGAUGGUGUUGGAUAAGCUUGGAGAGCAUCAGCUGUUUAUUGCAGAGUAUGAGGAUAUAUUUGUGACCUUUGGAACGGUCACCACAUGACACAUGAGAAACUCUUGUGAUUUGUUUGGAGCAAACAGCACCAGUUUCACAAGUUUUAUACCGAUUAGCACCAACAGAGAUGACAAAGCUGAAAGAGCAUGUUGAAGAUUCAUCAGACAAGGGUUUUAUCAGACCGGAUACUUUACCGUGGGGAACAUCAUCAUUGUUGUUGUAAAGAAGAAAGGUGGGAGUUUCAAUUUUGUAUCGACUACAAAGGUCUGAACAAAGUGACCAUUAAAGAUAAGUAUCGCUUCCGCGCGUUGAUGAAUUAUUGGAUUAUUUACAGGAAGUUUAUAGUUCUUGAAGGUUGACUUAGCAUCAGAACACCAUCAGAUUACUAUAUUUGAAGAGUA